CCGAAUCCCGGACCUGGACCUCGCGUAUUAUCCCCGUCCUCGCUCGUCCCCGACCGAAACCCUACCGCAAGCGACGGCGGCGAGCGAGCAAAGCGGCGGCGAGCGUCGAGCGUAACGGCGGCGAACAGCAAGCGAAGCGGCGGCUAGAACUGCAGGAGGGGCGGGAGAGGCGGAGAACCUUGCCGGUGCACGCAAGGAUGGAUCCCGCCUAGCGCUCCACAUCAGAUCGCCACCGUUCUUGGUAUUUGACCGGCGACGCCACCUCCCGCCGGUCUUGUACUCGAGUCUGCAUCCUCUCAGGUCAAGUUUCUUCUUCUACCUUUGAUCGAUAGUUAUUUGUGUUGGACUGCAGGGCAUCAUCCACCCAUCAUUUUGAAAUGUACCUGCAGCUGCUAAUCGGCAAGUAUGAGUUUGAACAUGAUGUAUGCGAUGCCUAUGUGGUCUUGUUUUUGCAACGGCAAUGCUUCCAUGUAAUCUGAAUUUAGUACUUUUGUCCAGUCAGGGACACGUCUAAUGUUAGGUAAAUGGAACUUGUGAUGGGCUUCAUGUUAUUUAAAUCAACGUGUGUAAUUGUUAUUUAGA